CGCACCAGUUCAUCCUUCUCCACCUUCUAUACAUAUAUAUAGCAGAGUCAAGCCUUUGAAUUCCUCUGGAAACCACACGAAGAGAAGAAAGGAAGAAAAAGUGGCGAUUGCUUGAGGAAGAGGAGGAGGAAAACGUCAACAAGAUCAUCAUCAUCUGCGUACAUCACCAUCAAGAAGAAAGAGAAGGGCCAUCAAGGGUGUUGCUACCCGGAGCCAAAGAAGGAACCCUACCCUUUUCCUUUAUGAUUUCCUUAGUGUUCUUCUUCUUGUUGGGUAAGACCCAGUAACCUCUGUUCUUUCUUCUUUUUCCCCAAUCCAAAAAUUCAACUUUUAUUGUGCUCCAUUUCUUGCUAGACUGACUGAAUUUCCCAAGAACUGCCACCUACAAGGGGUUCCUGAUUCAAGAAAACAAGAGAGCAAGAAUUGUGUUCUUGAGCAUCAAAAGAGGUAAGGGGUUAGGUGAUUAGAUUAGAGAUAUGUGUAGCUGACAGUUAUGAUUUUAUUGUUGAUGAUGAUUCUAUAUGAAUGUGUGGUAAUUGCUACUGGAAUUUUUUAGAGGAGUCAUAAAUUUGAUGUUGCAAUAGUUUGCUACAAUUCUGCUAGUGUAUCAUGAAUUUGUUGAGUAAUUAUUAUUGAGUAUAGUGCAGAGUUUGAUAUUGUGAAGGUGUAAUGAUAUGGUACCGAUGGUGUAAAUUUUUGGAAUAUAUGAAUUGAAGCUCUUGGAGCUGUAAUCUA